rnacentral:rRNA from 1 species
GAUGAACGCUGGCGGCGUGCCUAACACAUGCAAGUCGAACGGUAACAGGUCUUCGGAUGCUGACGAGUGGCGAACGGGUGAGUAAUACAUCGGAACGUGCCUAGUAGUGGGGGAUAACUACUCGAAAGAGUGGCUAAUACCGCAUGAGAUCUACGGAUGGAAGCAGGGGAUCGCAAGACCUUGUGCUACUAGAGCGGCCGAUGGCAGAUUAGGUAGUUGGUGGGAUAAAAGCUUACCAAGCCGACGAUCUGUAGCUGGUCUGAGAGGACGAUCAGCCACACUGGGACUGAGACACGGCCCAGACUCCUACGGGAGGCAGCAGUGGGGAAUUUUGGACAAUGGGCGCAAGCCUGAUCCAGCAAUGCCGCGUGCAGGAUGAAGGCCUUCGGGUUGUAAACUGCUUUUGUACGGAACGAAAAGCCCUGGGUUAAUACCCUGGGGUCAUGACGGUACCGUAAGAAUAAGCACCGGCUAACUACGUGCCAGCAGCCGCGGUAA